AGCAGCCGCGGUAAUUCCAGCUCCAAUAGCGUAUAUUAAAGUUGUUGCAGUUAAAAAGCUCGUAGUUGAAUUUCGGGGUCAGCAAACUGGUCGUGCCAAUGGUAUGCACUGGUUUUACUGAUUCCUCCCUCUUGUAGAACCGUAAUGCCAUUAAGUUGGUGUUGCGGGGAGACAGGACUGUUACUUUGAAAAAAUUAGAGUGUUUAAAGCAGGCUA
rnacentral:rRNA from 1 species